UUGUCCUACGGGGGGCAGCAGUGGGGAAUAUUGCACAAUGGGGGAAACCCUGAUGCAGCAACGCCGCGUGAAGGAAGACGGUUUUCGGAUUGUAAACUUCUGUUCUUAGUGAAGAAGAAUGACGGUAGCUAAGGAGCAAGCCACGGCUAACUACGUGCCAGCAGCCGCGGUAAUACGUAGGUGGCAAGCGUUAUCCGGAUUUACUGGGUGUAAAGGGAGCGUAGGCGGCGAUGCAAGUCAGAAGUGAAAGCCCGGGGCUCAACUCCGGGACUGCUUUUGAAACUGUAUGGCUAGAUUGCAGGAGA
rnacentral:rRNA from 1 species